rnacentral:rRNA from 1 species
GGGUUGUGAGGUUAAGCGACUAAGCGUACACGGUGGAUGCCCUGGCAGUCAGAGGCGAUGAAGGACGUGCUAAUCUGCGAUAAGCGUCGGUAAGGUGAUAUGAACCGUUAUAACCGGCGAUUUCCGAAUGGGGAAACCCAGUGUGUUUCGACACACUAUCAUUAACUGAAUCCAUAGGUUAAUGAGGCGAACCGGGGGAACUGAAACAUCUAAGUACCCCGAGGAAAAGAAAUCAACCGAGAUUCCCCCAGUAGCGGCGAGCGAACGGGGAGGAGCCCAGAGCCUGAAUCAGUGUGUGUGUUAGUGGAAGCGUCUGGAAAGGCGCGCGAUACAGGGUGACAGCCCCGUACACAAAAAUGCACAUACUGUGAGCUCGAUGAGUAGGGCGGGACACGUGGUAUCCUGUCUGAAUAUGGGGGGACCAUCCUCCAAGGCUAAAUACUCCUGACUGACCGAUAGUGAACCAGUACCGUGAGGGAAAGGCGAAAAGAACCCCGGCGAGGGGAGUGAAAAAGAACCUGAAACCGUGUACGUACAAGCAGUGGGAGCACGCUUAGGCGUGUGACUGCGUACCUUUUGUAUAAUGGGUCAGCGACUUAUAUUCUGUAGCAAGGUUAACCGAAUAGGGGAGCCGAAGGGAAACCGAGUCUUAACUGGGCGUUAAGUUGCAGGGUAUAGACCCGAAACCCGGUGAUCUAGCCAUGGGCAGGUUGAAGGUUGGGUAACACUAACUGGAGGACCGAACCGACUAAUGUUGAAAAAUUAGCGGAUGACUUGUGGCUGGGGGUGAAAGGCCAAUCAAACCGGGAGAUAGCUGGUUCUCCCCGAAAGCUAUUUAGGUAGCGCCUCGUGAAUUCAUCUCCGGGGGUAGAGCACUGUUUCGGCAAGGGGGUCAUCCCGACUUACCAACCCGAUGCAAACUGCGAAUACCGGAGAAUGUUAUCACGGGAGACACACGGCGGGUGCUAACGUCCGUCGUGAAGAGGGAAACAACCCAGACCGCCAGCUAAGGUCCCAAAGUCAUGGUUAAGUGGGAAACGAUGUGGGAAGGCCCAGACAGCCAGGAUGUUGGCUUAGAAGCAGCCAUCAUUUAAAGAAAGCGUAAUAGCUCACUGGUCGAGUCGGCCUGCGCGGAAGAUGUAACGGGGCUAAACCAUGCACCGAAGCUGCGGCAGCGACGCUGAUGCGUUGUUGGGUAGGGGAGCGUUCUGUAAGCCUGCGAAGGUGUGCUGUGAGGCAUGCUGGAGGUAUCAGAAGUGCGAAUGCUGACAUAAGUAACGAUAAAGCGGGUGAAAAGCCCGCUCGCCGGAAGACCAAGGGUUCCUGUCCAACGUUAAUCGGGGCAGGGUGAGUCGACCCCUAAGGCGAGGCCGAAAGGCGUAGUCGAUGGGAAACAGGUUAAUAUUCCUGUACUUGGUGUUACUGCGAAGGGGGGACGGAGAAGGCUAUGUUGGCCGGGCGACGGUUGUCCCGGUUUAAGCGUGUAGGCUGGUUUUCCAGGCAAAUCCGGAAAAUCAAGGCUGAGGCGUGAUGACGAGGCACUACGGUGCUGAAGCAACAAAUGCCCUGCUUCCAGGAAAAGCCUCUAAGCAUCAGGUAACAUCAAAUCGUACCCCAAACCGACACAGGUGGUCAGGUAGAGAAUACCAAGGCGCUUGAGAGAACUCGGGUGAAGGAACUAGGCAAAAUGGUGCCGUAACUUCGGGAGAAGGCACGCUGAUAUGUAGGUGAAGCGACUUGCUCGUGGAGCUGAAAUCAGUCGAAGAUACCAGCUGGCUGCAACUGUUUAUUAAAAACACAGCACUGUGCAAACACGAAAGUGGACGUAUACGGUGUGACGCCUGCCCGGUGCCGGAAGGUUAAUUGAUGGGGUUAGCGCAAGCGAAGCUCUUGAUCGAAGCCCCGGUAAACGGCGGCCGUAACUAUAACGGUCCUAAGGUAGCGAAAUUCCUUGUCGGGUAAGUUCCGACCUGCACGAAUGGCGUAAUGAUGGCCAGGCUGUCUCCACCCGAGACUCAGUGAAAUUGAACUCGCUGUGAAGAUGCAGUGUACCCGCGGCAAGACGGAAAGACCCCGUGAACCUUUACUAUAGCUUGACACUGAACAUUGAGCCUUGAUGUGUAGGAUAGGUGGGAGGCUUUGAAGUGUGGACGCCAGUCUGCAUGGAGCCGACCUUGAAAUACCACCCUUUAAUGUUUGAUGUUCUAACGUUGACCCGUAAUCCGGGUUGCGGACAGUGUCUGGUGGGUAGUUUGACUGGGGCGGUCUCCUCCUAAAGAGUAACGGAGGAGCACGAAGGUUGGCUAAUCCUGGUCGGACAUCAGGAGGUUAGUGCAAUGGCAUAAGCCAGCUUGACUGCGAGCGUGACGGCGCGAGCAGGUGCGAAAGCAGGUCAUAGUGAUCCGGUGGUUCUGAAUGGAAGGGCCAUCGCUCAACGGAUAAAAGGUACUCCGGGGAUAACAGGCUGAUACCGCCCAAGAGUUCAUAUCGACGGCGGUGUUUGGCACCUCGAUGUCGGCUCAUCACAUCCUGGGGCUGAAGUAGGUCCCAAGGGUAUGGCUGUUCGCCAUUUAAAGUGGUACGCGAGCUGGGUUUAGAACGUCGUGAGACAGUUCGGUCCCUAUCUGCCGUGGGCGCUGGAGAACUGAGGGGGGCUGCUCCUAGUACGAGAGGACCGGAGUGGACGCAUCACUGGUGUUCGGGUUGUCAUGCCAAUGGCACUGCCCGGUAGCUAAAUGCGGAAGAGAUAAGUGCUGAAAGCAUCUAAGCACGAAACUUGCCCCGAGAUGAGUUCUCCCUGACUCCUUGAGAGUCCUGAAGGAACGUUGAAGACGACGACGUUGAUAGGCCGGGUGUGUAAGCGCAGCGAUGCGUUGAGCUAACCGGUACUAAUGAACCGUGAGGCUUAACCUUACAACGCCGAAGGUGUUU